UGUUAAAAAUUUUAUCCAUUUCUACUAUCAAAAACUGGUGUGGUUGACGAAAUAACUAAACAGUUACAUGUGAGGUGCCACAUGUACCUUAUGUUGACAUAUAGAGACCAUCAUUUAAUAGUAAAAAUGGAUAGAUUUUUUAAUA
rfam:Gossypium hirsutum cultivar TM-1 chromosome 21, whole genome shotgun sequence